AUUAUUUAAAAUUUAAAUUUAUUAUAUUAAAGUAUUAAUAGUUAAGUUCUUUAAAUUUAAAAAUUUUGGCGGUAUUUUAGUCUAUUCAGAGGAACCUGUUUUAUAAUUGAUAAUCCACGAUUAACAUUACUUAAUUUGUUAAAAAAUUUGUAUAUCGUCGUUUUUAAUUAUUUUAUAAGAAUUUAAAUUUUUAAGAUUUUUUAUUAAAUAUUAAAUCAGAUCAAGGUGCAGUUUAUAGUUAAGUAGGAAUGGGUUACAAUAAUUUUAUUUAUUAUGAAUUAAUAUAUGAAAAUUUUAUUAUGAAGGAGGAUUUGAUAGUAAUAAGAUUUAUUUAAAUUUUAUGAUUUUUAGCUCUAAAAUAUGU
rnacentral:rRNA from 1 species